UGGCUGAGUGGUAAAGCACUUGGAUCCAAACCAGAGGGUCCUGGGUUUGAAUCCUGG
rnacentral:tRNA from 1 species